rnacentral:lncRNA from 1 species
UUGGAGUCAAGAUAACUCUUCCCUUUCUGAGCUGCUCAGAAUUAUUCAGAGAUACACAUUCAGUGGAAGGAUUUGGCCUCCAAAUUUUAAGGUUCAUGUGACUUCCUUCACAUCCUACCCUCAGUCUCACACCUUCCACCAGUGACAGUGUGAUUACCUGGAACAAGGGACCUGGGGACUGUCAGGGGACAGGUCUGUACCACGGUUUGUUUGUGUCAAAGUCCAAAAAAGCCUGACUGUGAGAGGGGAUCUCAGGACAGCACACUGGCAGGGAGCCAAGAGGAGCGUGUCAGUGGCUGUGUGUUGUAAACCAGCAGCAAUCCUUCUGCCACCGUGGAUUGCAAAAACAGCAGCACUGCCAAUGUUUAUGUGACUCUGGCAUCCUGACUGAGAAUCUUUUAGUUACAUCACAGGGGAGAAGCUGCAGCCCUGAGGGCAGCUGUAGAAAGUCCAGGUGCUGUGCUACUGCUGAUCCCUCCUGCUCCUAAGCCAGAGCCCUGCACCAUCUCUCAGUUCUUUCAUCUGUGGAAGGAGGGUUGUACCAGCUCACACUACCUACCAAGUCUGUCUGUCUGCAUCACUUUCACGUGUUUGUGAAUUGCUAAUGAAGCUACCUGGGCCUCAAAGCUUGCAAAGGGUUCCCUUUGACUGGGUUUGUACAACCUGAAUUAAUUCUCCUCUAGACGUGCCCUUCUCCUUUUGCCCAUUGCUUAAAAUGAAAGGAUUCCCUUGCUUGUGAGGGUGAGCUCUUAGAAGCCCAGCAACAACAUUGUCAGCCAAAGGUUAUCAGUUUUGCUUUGCAAAUUACUGAAAGGGAAACAGAAGAUGAAAACUUUACUUACAAACCACUUUUGUUUUCUGCCAUGGUGGUGCAGUGAUGCAUCUUGCCUUUCUGCUUAUCCAGGUUAGCUAUAGAUCCAGUAAACAUAUAUAGCUCCAAAGGACUAACAAGAGGUGUCCUCCAUUCUAAAACUGUUAGCAGAUAUUUCUUCCUAGUGAAAAGCAGUUAAUUGUUCACUUAUAUCCUAAAAUGAAAGGUUAAAUAACAAUAAUAAAUAAAUAAAUAA